rnacentral:rRNA from 1 species
CUAAGUUUGAUGGCGACCGGCGCACGGGUGUGUAACACGUAUCCAACCUGCCGAUGACUCGGGGAUAGCCUUUCGAAAGAAAGAUUAAUACCCGAUGGCAUAGUUCUUCCGCAUGGUGGAACUAUUAAAGAAUUUCGGUCAUCGAUGGGGAUGCGUUCCAUUAGGUUGUUGGCGGGGUAACGGCCCACCAAGCCUUCGAUGGAUAGGGGUUCUGAGAGGAAGGUCCCCCACAUUGGAACUGAGACACGGUCCAAACUCCUACGGGAGGCAGCAUG